GGAUGGAUGGAUGAUGGAUGAUGGAUGGAUGAUGGAUGAUGGAUGGAUGGAUGAUGGAUGAUGGAUGGAUGAUGGAUGAUGGAUGGAUGGAUGAUGGAUGAUGGAUGGAUGAUGGAUGGAUGGAUGACGGAUGGAGGUGGCUCCUGCUAGCCCAGAGUGGAGGGGCGUUACCUCUGGGCCUGGAGGAGGAUGGUUCCAGGGGGAGGGUUAGUGGAGGAGGAGGGUUCUUUGAGGAAAGAGGAAGAGGAGGUUCCUGGAGGAGGAGGAUGGUGGUUCCUGGAGGAGGAGGGGCAUUCUAGGAGGAGGAGGAUGAGGGUUCUUGGAGGAGGAAGACAAGGGUUCUUAAAUGAAGAGGAUGGUGAUUCCUGGAGGAAGAGAUGGGUUCUUGGAGGAAGAGGACGGUGAUUCUUGCGGGAGGAGGAAGAUGGUUCCUGGAAGAGGAUGGGGGUUCUUGGAGGAAGGUGAUGAUGGCUCCUUGAGGGAGAUGAUGAUUCCUGGGAAGGAGAAGGAUUCCUGGAGGAGGAUGGUGGCCCCAGGAGGAAAUGGUGGCUCCUGGAGGAAGAUGAGCAGAGAUCCCAGGAAGAUCAGAAACCCUGGGAGGAUCAGAAACCCCUGGAAGAGCCGUGGAUCCAAUCCCAGGAGGAGCCAUGGAUCCAAUCCCAGGAGGAGCAGUGGAUCCAAUCCCAGGAGGAGCAGUGGAUCCAAUCCCAGGAGGAGCAGUGGAUCCAAUCCCAGGAGGAGCAGUGGAUCCAAUCCCAGGAGGAGCAGUGGAUCCAAUCCCAGGAGGAGCAGUGGAUCCAAUCCCAGGAGGAGCAGUGGAUCCAAUCCCAGGAGGAGCAGUGGAUCCAAUCCCAGGAGGAGCAGUGGAUCCAAUCCCAGGAGGAGCAGUGGAUCCAAUCCCAGGAGGAGCAGUGGAUCCAAUCCCAGGAGGAGCAGUGGAUCCAAUCCCAGGAGGAGCAGUGGAUCCAAUCCCAGGAGGAGCAGUGGAUCCAAUCCCAGGAGGAGCAGUGGAUCCAAUCCCAGGAGGAGCAGUGGAUCCAAUCCCAGGAGGAGCAGUGGAUCCAAUCCCAGGAGGAGCAGUGGAUCCAAUCCCAGGAGGAGCAGUGGAUCCAAUCCCAGGAGGAGCAGUGGAUCCAAUCCCAGGAGGAGCAGUGGAUCCAAUCCCAGGAGGAGCAGUGGAUCCCUUCCCUGUGGAAGAUCAGUGGAUCCCUUCCCCGUGAGCUCCCUGCACCGUCCCAAGGAAUCCUUGUGGGAUUUUCUGCCAGCUGGGAUCCCACCCUAACCCAGGCCCUGAGGAAUAUCUGCAAUAAUCACCCAGGAGGGGAGCAGGAAGCACCUGGGAUCCAGUGGGGAUCCAAUGUGGAUUGAUUGUGAAUCUUGCUUUUCCUUCUCCAUUUCCUUCUCCAUUUUCUUCUUUUCCUUUCUCUUCAAUUUCCUUCUCCAUUUCCUUUUCCUUCUUUAUCUCCUCCUUCUCCAUUUCCUUCUCCUUUCCCAUCCCCUGCAGGGUUGGAACAACUCCCUCCCUCCCAUCCAGUGUGGAUCUGGAGCAGUGAUGGCAGAAAAUCCCCGAAUUCCCACAAUUUCAUCCCCCAAACCCCUCAAAUCCCAAAUAAAACCCACUGGAGCCGAGGCUGGUACAGUGAAUAAGCCGUUUUUAUUUUUUGUCCUGUGCUCACAACAAUCUCUCUUCUCUCCCUGACAGGUCACAGAUCAUUCAAAUCAAAAAAAGUUUCUAAGAGGAAAAAAAAAAAAUAAUUUAAAACACACGCACAGGGCUCUCUCUCCAUUCCAACCUCCCCACAUCCCAACUUGUGCUUCAUUCCCGGGAAGCUGGAGGGGGCUCGGGGCUCCCAUCCAGCCAAUCCCAGCUCCAAACAUUCCCAAAAAAUCCUGGAAAACAUUCCCACAAACCCACACACAUCUUGCCAGCGGGCCUUCCCUGCUGCUUUCCCAGGUGGAACAACCACCCUGGAAUCCUCCUCGGAUCCCGUGCACAGGACUGGCUCGGAAAAGCCGUUACUUUAUUUUAUUUAUUUUUUUAAGCUUUUUUUUUUCUUUUUUUUCUUUUUUUUUUUUUUUUUUUUUUUUUUUUUUUUUUUUUUUUUUUUUUUUUUUUUUUUUUUUUUUUAAUUUCUUCUUUUUUUUUUUUAAGUUUCUAUUUUUUUUUUCUGGUUGCUGGUAAAGUCAGAACACUCCCAGCUGUGCUAUAUGGAAAUACAGCUCUAGGAUGGUCUCCGAGGUGUGGAGACCUGACAGUGAUCAAGGCACUACCCCCACCCCCCUCCUGAAAAACAAAGGAAGUCAGACCAACACCUCUAGGGACAGAAGAGAAUCCUAUAAUGUGAUCACACGGUUACACGGAAUCUUUAUGGCAAAGAGAACAUUGAGCAGCUUUGAACGUUUGGGCUUCUCCCUUUUUUUUUGUUGUUUUUUGGGGGGGGGGGGGGGGGGGGGGGGGGGGGGGGGGGGGGGGGGGGGGGGGGGGGGGGGGGGGGGGGGGGGGGGGGGGGGGGGGGGGGGGGGGGGGGGGGGGGGGGGGGGGGGGGGGGG
rnacentral:lncRNA from 1 species